rnacentral:lncRNA from 12 species
AUGGUACUUUUUGUCAUUCGUACUCUAACAAUCCUUACAACUUUGGCACAAAAAAACAGCUCAUAUUCUAUUCGGUAUAUGUCUUUACAGACUGAUCCAUAUACUAAAGGAAGGAAGAUAAAGAACCUUCAUUACGACUACAGCAUGCCAACUUUCCCACAUGAUCAACCAGAGGACGCGUCUCAGAGCCAAAGGAGAGACCUCAAAGACUUUGAGAACUCUCUCAUCCAACUGACGACAAGUCUGGACUUGAUGCAGGAGGAACCAGAAAAACCUCUUCAGAAGAAGACAGAUGCUGUAGAUUUAGGAUUGGAAAUGUUUAGAAGAAGACAAAGCCCGGGGGACCACGUUGACAAAUCGUGGCUAAAGUUGAGGUCACUCCUGAGGGACUAUCAUCAGGAUCUCAUGUUGGCUUUAGACGUCUCAUCAUUUUACCAACAAGCCGACAGCAUUAUUGGCGCCAUCAACAGCAAGAGGAACUGUGUACUGGUGGACGACAUCCCAAAAAGUGACAAAGAGACCAUAGAAAUUGCCUGUCAGAUAAGUAUGCUGAAUGAGUCUGUGUCUCGGCUGUCAACUCUCCACCCAACCCUGGCCAGAAGAGUUACAUGCAAACAGGCCGAGGUGAAGGAGAACUGGGCACUUCUCCAGGAGUUUCUCCGGAACCAGAAGACAGAUGUUUCUUCAAAACGCCCGUCAGCGUUACCCGCUGAUCCUCUAACCACAUGCCCUGACUCACAGAGCUUUGCUAGAAUUGAGGGUCACAGCGUAACGGGAAAAGACGUCAAAGAAGAGCAAAACCGUCUCCGAGGAUUUGAGUGCUCUCAAGGCCUGUGGACCCAUAGGAUGUGGAGUCCGGUUGAGGAAUGUUCUAUAGGGAGUCAAGUCUCACUGUUGGAAAGCAGCUGUUCCAAGCUGGACAACAUCUCAGAAAAGCAGGACAGGAAGAGCUGUAUCGACCAGAUGGCUCAAACAACCCCUGUUUCCUCUCAAGAAUGUCUCAUACCCAAUAAGCUGUUGAAAGAAUCGACGACAUCCACUGGAAUGAAUGAAGAGCAUGACUGCUCAAAGCAAAGACAAGACCACAAAAUAGAGGAGCUCCUAAGCCAGGUGGAGGUCCUUUGGGAUGCUCUGCAAAAGAAAUAUGGAGAGAACAAUAAGACUGAACCGGCGGAAAAAGAACAAUCUGGAGAUGAAGCUGCACAGAUGGUUUCAGAUCUUACAGUUUCAAACAAUCUCCCGGAAAAAGUAGAGGAAGGCAGUUCAGGAAUGCUUGAAAAGUUCCUUGAACUUCUUGAUCCCAGUGGUUAUCACAAAAUAAAUCAGGAUGUUCCUGGAUCUCUGCAUAGGCAAGAAAUGGCUGAGGCUGCAGAAAUGUCACUAAAUCUACUGAGUCAACAAACUGAACAAGAAAGAUCUCAGAAGCAGGACCAGAUCACUAAUGAGUUACAAAGCUUGCUAUCUACUCUAACACUGCGGAUAAACCAGCACCUCUGUCGCUGUGCUGAGCUCAGUAUGGACCUCCUGGACAUAGAAACAGAUAUGACUGUGCUUUGUGACUCGGACCUCAGUGGUCUGGAGGGGCUACAGGAGCAGCAGGAUGACCUAGAGGCUCAUUAUAAUAUCAUUGAAGGAGAGGUGAGAGAAAUGGAGAGACUAGACAGUCAGCUAAAGGUUCCUUCCCCAGAACAGAGAGACCUUCUCAGGGAAGAGGUUCAGGCAAUCCUGCAGGCUUGGGAGGAAGUAGGCCGCAACAUGGCUGAAAACAGAAGCCGUCUGGAGAAGUUCCACCAGAUUCAGGACUACUUCGAAAACUAUCUUGCCAUGAUUACGUGGACAGAGAACACCAGAUCCUGUAUCCUUGCCGGUGGCUCUGCUUGGAGAGAGAGUGAAGUUGCAGAGAUUGAUCACAGCAUUGAAACCAAGCUGGAUGAGUUUAGCAAACUGGCUGCAGCUGGUCAAAUGCUUAUGCAAGAUGAGAGUCAGUUUAAAGACAUUAUCAAGGAGAGAACAGAUGAGUUGCAAAGCAUGCUGGGAUGGAUCCAGGUGAACUGGCACGUUCAAAGAGAGCAGCUUAAAAGAAACCAGAAUGGGAGACCAGAGUCAACAAACGAUCCUGUUCAACAGCAGGCUAUACCUUUCAAAAAACCUUCUGAUGGUCUUUGCAUUAUAAAUGGAGAGGUCAAAGGAAAUACUCCUGAAACACAGUCCUCUCAAAACAACUUUGAGCAACAGAAUGGGAGGCAUGAUGUGUCCAGUGUUGUUAGUCAGGAGUCAUGCCUUUCAAAGACAUCCCUAGGCUCUAGCAUCUGUCUCAUUUUGAGCUUUGAUGACCAGUCUUCAGGCAUUAACCAAGUGACAAAGCAAUGGUCCCCCAACAAUAAUGAAAUACUUGAAGAGUCAGCAAGCAGCAUUCAGGCAGACAGCUGUCAAUCACAGGACACAACCUCAAUGCAAAUACAACAGCCACAAGAAAUUCUCCAGGAAAGAUGGCCGAAUGAAUCAGUCAAGAGUAAAGACACCAAACCCAAGUCAUCUUGUGUGAAUCUUGCACAGCUGCAAAUCAAAAACCAAGGAGAACCAGACCAGUCACCAAGCAAAGAAGAAAUAUCCAACCAGUUGUCCACAUAUAACACUGAAUCAUCAUUUUGCAAUCACCUACCAGAUAAUCUGCAGUCCAACAACAACCAAACAUAUCUGCAACCAUCACCAGAUGUCGAUCAGAUGCAAAAUCCUGAGAAUCAAGCACAAAAAACUCAGUCACAAAGCUACAGCCCGAACCGGAUGCAAAAAUCUGCACACAACAAUCUAGAAUCAAACCAAAACCAAAGUGACGACCACCUGCGGUCUGAAGUCACUCAUAGGGUGUUCACGUAUUUGCACGUCUCGGAUACUUACAGAUCAACAGGGCAAGUCUUGGAGGUCACAUCCCCAACACAUGCAGCAGAAAAUGUCACACAUGAAAGGAGAACGGUUUAUAAUCACAACAGAUUCGAGCCAAGCUCUUUGUUCAAGCUGAAAGAGCCAAUCACAAACGAGGAAGAAAACCAGCGAAGGAACUCUCUGCUUGGCUCUGUAGGAUCGGAAAGGUCUGGCAAACCUUCAAGCAUUUUCAGGCGAAGGUGUAACACUUGGCCAGAAGGAGAAGGGAGAGUGAAAGAAAGUCAAUCAAACUCCAAACUUCAGGAUCCACUCUUAGCUUCAGUCUUCCCAAGUGCUUUCACAACAGUGUCUUAG